UUCAAGUAAUCCAGGAUAGGCUGUGGGCUCGGCAUUCGGCCUGUUCUUGAUUACUUGGUCC
rnacentral:pre_miRNA from 1 species